GGAGAAGUGGCAGAGAGAAAUGCGUUCGGCUUGAAACCGUUGGAUGGGGGUUUAACUCCUCCCUUCUCUU
rnacentral:tRNA from 1 species